rnacentral:rRNA from 1 species
GAGUUUGAUCCUGGCUCAGGAUUGAACGCUGCGGCGUGCUAAUACAUGCAAGUCGAGCGACCGGAUAAGGAGCUUGCUCCUUUGAAGUUACCGGCGGACGGGUGAGUAACACGUGGGUAACCUACCUAUAAGACUGGAAUAACUUCGGGAACCGGAGCUAAUGCCGGAUAACAUAUAGACCGCAUGGUUCUAUAGUGAAAGAUGGCCCCUAUCACUUAUAGAUGGACCCGCGCCGUAAAAACUAGUUGGUAAGGUAAUGGCUUACCAAGGCGACGAUACGUAGCGGCCUGAGAGGGUACGGCCGGGGGGUUUCAAAAGGGUCAAAAGGGG